UACGUAGGUGACAAGCGUUGUUCGGAAUUACUGGGCGUAAAGGGCUCGUAGGCGGCCAACUAAGUCAGACGUGAAAUCCCUCGGCUUAACCGGGGAACUGCGUCUGAUACUGGAUGGCUUGAGUUUGGGAGAGGGAUGCGGAAUUCCAGGUGUAGCGGUGAAAUGCGUAGAUAUCUGGAGGAACACCGGUGGCGAAGGCGGCAUCCUGGACCAACACUGACGCUGAUGAGCGAAAGCCAGGGGAGCAAACGGG
rnacentral:rRNA from 1 species